rnacentral:rRNA from 1 species
AACGAACGCUGGCGGCAUGCCUAACACAUGCAAGUCGAACGGGAUCCUGGCUUCGGCCAGGUGAGAGUGGCGGACGGGUGAGUAACGCGUGGGAACCUGCCCAUUGGUCUGGGAUAACUGCGGGAAACUGCAGCUAAUACCGGAUGUACCCGAGAGGGGAAAGAUUUAUCGCCGAUGGAGGGGCCCGCGUCAGAUUAGGUAGUUGGUGAGGUAACGGCUCACCAAGCCUACGAUCUGUAGCUGGUCUGAGAGGAUGAUCAGCCACACUGGGACUGAGAUACGGCCCAGACUCCUACGGGAGGCAGCAGUGGGGAAUAUUGGACAAUGGGGGCGAACCCGUACGAUCCACGCAAUAGCCGCGUGAGUGAUGAAGGACCGUUAGGGUUGGUUAAAGACGUCUUUUGUUCC